rnacentral:rRNA from 1 species
AGAGUUUGAUCAUGGCUCAGGAUGAACGCUGGCGGCGUGCCUAACACAUGCAAGUCGAGCGAUUUACUUCGGUAAAGAGCGGCGGACGGGUGAGUAACGCGUGGGUAACCUGCCCUGUACACACGGAUAACAUACCGAAAGGUAUGCUAAUACGGGAUAAUGUACUUUUGUCGCAUGGCAAAAGUAUCAAAGCUCCGGCGGUACAGGAUGGACCCGCGUCUGAUUAGCUAGUUGGAGAGGUAAUGGCUCACCAAGGCAACGAUCAGUAGCCGACCUGAGAGGGUGAUCGGCCACAUUGGAACUGAGACACGGUCCAAACUCCUACGGGAGGCAGCAGUGGGGAAUAUUGCACAAUGGGCGAAAGCCUGAUGCAGCAACGCCGCGUGAGCGAUGAAGGCCUUCGGGUCGUAAAGCUCUGUCCUCAAGGAAGAUAAUGACGGUACUUGAGGAGGAAGCCCCGGCUAACUACGUGCCAGCAGCCGCGGUAAUACGUAGGGGGCUAGCGUUAUCCGGAAUUACUGGGCGUAAAGGGUGCGUAGGUGGUUUCUUAAGUCAGAGGUGAAAGGCUACGGCUCAACCGUAGUAAGCCUUUGAAACUGAGAAACUUGAGUGCAGGAGAGGAGAGUAGAAUUCCUAGUGUAGCGGUGAAAUGCGUAGAUAUUAGGAGGAAUACCAGUUGCGAAGGCGGCUCUCUGGACUGUAACUGACACUGAGGCACGAAAGCGUGGGGAGCAAACAGGAUUAGAUACCCUGGUAGUCCACGCCGUAAACGAUGAGUACUAGGUGUCGGGGGUUACCCCCCUCGGUGCCGCAGCUAACGCAUUAAGUACUCCGCCUGGGAAGUACGCUCGCAAGAGUGAAACUCAAAGGAAUUGACGG